rnacentral:rRNA from 1 species
CGAGUGGCGGACGGGUGAGGAAUACAUCGGAAUCUACCUUUUCGUGGGGGAUAACGUAGGGUAACUUACGCUUACCGCAUACGACCUACGGGUGAAAGUGGGGGACCGCAAGGCCUCACGCGAUUAGAGCCGAUGUCCGAUUGUCUAGUUGGCGGGGUAAUGGCCCACCAAGGCGACGAUCGGUAGCUGGUCUGAGAGGAUGAUCAGCCACACUGGAACUGAGACACGGUCCAGACUCCUACGGGAGGCAGCAGUGGGGAAUAUUGGACCUUCAAUGGGCGCAAGCCUGAUCCAGUCAUACCGCGUGGGUGAAGAAGGCCUUCGGGUUGUAAAGCUCUUUUGUUGGGAAUAAGAAAUUCUGUCGAUUAAUACUCGGUGGGGAUGACGGUACUCAAAGAAUAAGCAUCGGCUAACUUCGUGUCAGCAGUCGCGGUAAUACGAAGGGUGCAAGCGUUACUCGGAAUUACUGGGGUAAAGCGCGUAGGUGGUGGUUUAAGUCUGCUGUGAAA